GAUGAACGCUGGCGGCGUGCUUAACACAUGCAAGUCGAACGGAAAGGCCCAAGCUUGCUUGGGUACUCGAGUGGCGAACGGGUGAGUAACACGUGGGUGAUCUGCCCUGCACUUCGGGAUAAGCCUGGGAAACUGGGUCUAAUACCGGAUAGGACGAUGGUUUGGAUGCCAUUGUGGAAAGUUUUUUCGGUGUGGGAUGAGCUCGCGGCCUAUCAGCUUGUUGGUGGGGUAAUGGCCUACCAAGGCGUCGACGGGUAGCCGGCCUGAGAGGGUGUACGGCCACAUUGGGACUGUGAUACGGCCCAGACUCCUACGGGAGGCAGCAGUGGGGAAUAUUGCACAAUGGGCGCAAGCCUGAUGCAGCGAGGCCGCGUGGGGGAUGACGGCCUUCGGGUUGUAAACACCUUUCGCUAGGGACGAAGCGUUUUUGUGACGGUACCUGGAGAAGAAGCACCGGCUAACUACGUG
rnacentral:rRNA from 1 species